GACGAACGCUGGCGGCGUGCUUAACACAUGCAAGUCGAACGGAGAAUUUAUUUCGGUAAAUUCUUAGUGGCGAACGGGUGAGUAACGCGUGGGCAACCUGCCCUUCAGAUGGGGACAACAUCCCGAAAGGGGUGCUAAUACCGAAUACGAUCACGCUGCCGCAUGGCGGUGUGAUGAAAGAUGGCCUCUAUUUAUAAGCUAUCGCUGAAGGAUGGGCCUGCGUCUGAUUAGCUAGUUGGUGGGGUAACGGCCUACCAAGGCGAUGAUCAGUAGACGGUGUGAGAGGGUGAACGGCCACAUUGGGACUGAGACACGGCCCAAACUCCUACGGGAGGCAGCAGUGGGGAAUAUUCCGGAAUGGAGGAAAGUCUGACGGAGCAACGCCGCGUGAGUGAUGAAGGUUUUCGGACUGUAAAACUCUGUUGUUUAGGACGAAAGUGCCUGUUGCAAAUAGUUGCAGGUAUUGACGGUACUGAACGAGGAAGCCACGGCUAACUACGUGCCAGCAGCCGCCGUAA
rnacentral:rRNA from 1 species